rnacentral:rRNA from 1 species
GUCCACGCCCUAAACGAUGUCAACUAGUUGUUAGGGAAGCAAUUCCUUGGUAACGAAGCUAACGCGUGAAGUUGACCGCCUGUGGAGUACGGCCGCAAGGUUAAAACUCAAAGGAAUUGACGGGGACCCGCACAAGCGGUGGAUUAUGUGGAUUAAUUCGAUGCAACGCGAAAAACCUUACCUACCCUUGACAUGUACGGAACCUCGCAGAGAUGUGAGGGUGCCCGAAAGGGAACCGUAACACAGGUGCUGCAUGGCUGUCGU